CGGUGCGGCAGCGCCAUCUGGUGCCGAGUCCCUCGCUGCCCGCAGAGGGGGCGCGCGUUUCUUUCGGAACCUUCCAGAGUAAACGGGGCCCGGGUUUUCGUCUCUCCCGCCCUCGGGAAGGAGAGCCCGAGUCUCCGCCCUGCCGAGUUCCUGCGUUGGAGGGACACAGGGAGAAGACAACCAUCUGUGAACCAGGAAGAGAGCCCUCACCGAGAACCAAAUAUGCUGGUGCCUUGAUCUUGGACUUACCAGCCUCCAGAACUAGGCAACAAGCAAGGCAUAAUGUCUUUCAAGAGCACAGUGAUCAUUCACAGAACUGAAUAAUGAUUAACGAAAUGAUAUCCC